CGAUGCCCUGGGCAUGUGUUUAGCAGUUCUGUCUGUCUGUGAGUCACCCUUUCUUAGAUAAGGGGUGCAUUUUUUGCAAGGACAGAGACAAGCCAGCUCUACCUGUCCCUCUCAGUUCCAGGGGCCAGGGAGUUUGCUGUAAGAGGUUAGGGCCGGCCUAGGCAUGAGGGUCGUAAAACUUGGGUCAUGUCCAUUAGAACGGUGACGAGGCCAGAGGAGGUCUGUGUCGUGUGUGCCUCGGUGUCUGUCCACUGAAACUCAUAAGCUCAGCCACGGAGGAGCUGUCUCAUUUUAGGCUUUGGUGCUGGUACUUACUGACAGUUACUUGAGAAAGAUGUGAUUUCGGUCCCAGAGCCACAGGAUAUCAGCUCAUGGAAUGUGUCGCUGCAUCAUGUUACUCAGGGUGUGCCCAAGUCUCGUAGCCCAGAAAUCAAUCCUGAGGGCCCUGAAACAGCCCAGGGGCCGCAGUAUACGCCCAAGAGCAGCGGGGGCAAAGGGCAAGGCAUGCUGUCUUUCCAAAGCACGGAGUCACCAGACAAGUCCACGCCUGAAGAAGAAUGUUGUAAUGUUCAGCUUUUGAAGAACCUGAGGAAGUGUCUUUCCCUUAACUCACACAGACGUUCACCAUUCACGAAGGUGGCGCUUAGCUCAGCGGGAGCGCGCAGCACUGGUGGCACCUGUGCUGUGUGCUGUGUUAUCCCACUCUUCCCUGGCACUGGCGGCACCUGUGCUGUGUGCCGUGUUAUCCACUCUUCCCUGGCGCUGGUGGCACCUGUGCUGUGUGCCGUGUUAUCGUCUCUUCCCUGGCACUGGCGGCACCUGUGCUGUGUGCCGUGUUAUCCCACUCUUCUCUGGCGCUGGCGGCACCUGUGCUGUGUGCCGUGUUAUCCCGCUCUUCCCUGGCGCUGGCGGCACCUGUGCUCUGUGCCGUGUUAUCCCGCUCUUCUCUGGCACUGGCGGCACCUGUGCUGUGUGCCAUGUUUUCCUGCUCUUCCCUGGCGCUGGCGGCACGCGUGCUGUGUGCUGGGGUAUUCACCUCUUCCCUGUGGGGAAUAAGGCUUGAGACUUGCUUCCUUCCUGCCCUUAAGGGAUGUAAUAGCUUUGUCCUCACUGUGCCCGUAAACUGAUUUGGUUUUCAGUUACAUAUUCAGCCUCACAUGGAUUAAAUGCUUAGAUAAUUCAUUAACUAUGGAGUAGUUACUGAUUGGCUAAUGUCAUCUGGAAAUAUAUGACUGAAAGCACUUUGUCAAAACCCUGUGCACAUUGCAACCUGCAUAGCUCCGCGGCCCUGAGUGUAUGGGAGCAGCUGGUGGGUCUGCUGCUUAGAGGACGGCUGUGCUCUUCGCCGUUGAGGUGACUCUGGUGAUGUGUGCAUGUCUUGCCAGUUCUGCAUUCGUUUCUCUUGUCUGUAUGCAUAGCUUCCUGUUUCUCGUUGGUUUGUGUAUGUGUUGGGUAAGGCUUUGCGUCCUGGAUAAUGAGUGGUUGAAGCCAUAAUAAAAUGUCUAGGGUGUGGGCGGGCACUGCAGGUGAGUCUGGGCAGCAGUGGUGAUGGCUGUGCUGUCCGUCGGCGAGUGGUCUGAGAGUGUCUUUGUGCUUCCUCCUCAGGUGUCGAUUGACUGCCCGUGGUCCAUCUACUCCACGGUCAUCGCACUGACCUUCAGCGUACCCUUCAGGACCACACACACCCUCCUGUCCUCAGGAACACGGAAAUAUGUUCAAGUUUGUGUCCAGAAUUUGUCAGAACUUGACUUUCAGCUGUCAGAUAGUUAUCUUGUAGAUACCGGUGAUAGUACCGACCUGCAACUAGUACCACUGAACACGCAGUCCCAGCAGCCCAUCUACAGCAAGCAGUCGGUGUUCUUCGUCUGGGAACUCAAGUGGACAGAAGAGCCUCCCCCUUCUCUGCAUUGCCGGUUCUCUGUUGGAUUUUCCCCAGCUUCUGAGGAACAGCUGUCUAUCUCCUUAAAGCCGUAUACUUAUGAAUUUAAAGUGGAAAAUUUUUUUACAUUAUACAACGUGAAGGCUGAGAUCUUUCCCCCUUCGGGAAUGGAGUAUUGCAGAACAGGCUCCCUCUGCUCCCUGGAGGUUUUGAUCACGAGGCUCUCAGACCUCUUGGAGGUGGAUAAAGAUGAAGCACUGACUGAAUCUGAUGAGCAUUUUUCGACAAAGCUUAUGUAUGAAGUUGUCGACAACAGUAGCAACUGGGCAGUGUGUGGGAAAAGCUGCGGUGUCAUCUCCAUGCCAGUGGCUGCUCGGGCCACUCACAGGGUCCACAUGGAAGUGAUGCCGCUCUUCGCCGGGUAUCUCCCCCUGCCCGACGUCAGGCUGUUCAAGUACCUCCCCCAUCAUUCUGCACACUCCUCCCAACUGGACGCUGACAGCUGGAUAGAAAACGACAGCCUGUCAGUAGACAAGCACGGGGACGACCAGCCGGACAGCAGCAGCCUCAAGAGCAGGGGCAGCGUGCAUUCGGCCUGCAGCAGCGAGCACAAAGGCCUACCCAUGCCCCGGCUGCAGGCACUGCCGGCCGGCCAGGUCUUCAACUCCAGCUCGGGCACACAAGUCCUGGUCAUCCCCAGCCAAGAUGACCACGUCCUGGAAGUCAGUGUAACAUGACAACGCCAGGGUGAACACACGCCACUUCCCAGCUAGGAGUGCACUUUAUGGGACUGUGACUGGACUCUUCUCCGUUCUGGCUCCAGCCAGACCUUCAGUGGUCCUGCCUGGCCAUGGGGACAUCAGAGAGUGUCAUCACGCAGCUGGCCAGCUGAGUUCUGUUGUUGUUUUCAUGCCGCCUGUGAUCUCAGAUUCCUGCUUUUCUCACCCCGUCCCCAUGCUGGUGUCCGACGCCGCUUACUCAGAGCCCUGGCCUCCCUCCCCCUACCUCACACGCUGCUCAUGAAAGUUUCCACCCACGCUGUCUCCACGGAACAGCCUCCGUCUGCUGGCUCUUCGUGGAAGGCCAUUUGUCUUUCAGGUAGACACUCAGCAGGCCUCACGGUCUUAGUGACGUGUGUGCCUUUCUGGUCACACAGCUGCCCAGUUUCCUGAUCGGGGUGGAUUUGUGUCCCCUAAGGGGUAAAACAGCCAUUUACCGCAGAUCCUCUCAUUGUGCUUUUCUAGAAUAACACCCUUCUAGGGGAGGCGGGUGGGGGAGGGAGGGAUCAUAACCCCUUCUGUGCCUUGGGACGCCGGAGCUGGGGGACCUGGAGGCCCAUCAGCCGGAGCCACGUGAAAGAUACUGAAGAAAGCUGAGACCCGGCUGUGAGGAGCGCCUCAGCGGUGAGGUGGUUUAGGGAUAAAUGUUUCUGGAACCCUGUGGUCCCCCAUAAUGUUGAUAGAAUAUCAUAUGCACUGGGAGUUAAAUAUAUUUAAUUUAAUGAUCAUUAUAUAUGUGGGGGUUAAUAUGUUGUUUUUCUGUCCCUUUAAAGUCUUUACAUGUAAUUGUAGCUGUAUAAUCGUUAUUUUUCUUUUGCAUCUUAAGUCUUAGAAAUUAAGAUAUUCCAUCGUGAGGAUGAGAGAGGUCCUCAGGGUGUUUUUGGUCUGGUUGUAGGGAAGGACUCAAGUCCUGGAAUGUCCUCCACUGGUCUACUGAGUUGCAGUCACACUGUUCCAAUGGAUUAUUUGCUUUCGGUUGUAAAUUUAAUUGUACAUAUGGUUGAUUUAUUAUUUUUAAAAAUACAGACUAACUGAUGUAAUGUUUAUGUAUAAGUUGCACCAAAAAUCAAGGACAAAAAUAAGUGUGUUUGUUUUUACAGGUGUGAAAGUCACAGCUUGUAAAUAAGUGUUGUAUGUAUUAAACCUUUUCCAGUUCUCCAAAGCGAUGUAUUUUUGUACUUUUGAAAUAGAGUACUCUUAAUUUACUGGGCAAAUGUGCUUGGAAUUGAACUUGACAAGAUUAGCUCAAGCAGAUAGAGUCGGGUCCAGCAGUGGGUGGCCCUCGUGUGAAUCCCCGUGGAUGUGCAAGUUGUGGAGAGAAGGAGCACCGGGUUCCUGCCCAGCACUGUGCUUGCGGGAGGCGGUGGGGCAUGGGAGGAAGGAGGCACAGACCGGGGAAAUAUGACAGCCGUCAUUUCCAGUAUUCUCUGUGUUGUCUUUUAGCUCAUUCAAUAAAUAAAGGUGGUGUGAUUUUUUUUUCCUCCUGUCUUUUUCAUUUGUGGAAAUUGGAGACGUGUAAAGAAGAUAAAUAAUUGUGUAAUUAAACUUUCCAGAAAUUUAUCUUCCUCAUGUGCAGUUUAACAAACUUGGUCAAACUAGUUAGCAAAUUAGAACUUCAGAAUCUAAUGAUAGUUUAGGGUUUCUAAAAUAAGGUUUUUUAUUGUAAAAAUUGACGAUUGCCCUGCAUUUCUACCAAGUCCUGUGAAUAAAGAGAUGGGAGAUUUGAUUCCGUCAGAAGAGCCUGUAAUCCGUGUCGUCAGCCUGGGAGCCUUCCCCAGUGUAAUGUAGCUUUCUCUCUUACCUUCUGGAAGAGGGAAUGUUUCAUUUAUUACUGUUUGAUUUUCUUGUAUCUGGUUCUACUCCCAGGAUGAAAUUAUCCAACUACAUAUAUAUUUAGAGGAAGAAAGUGAAGGGGAAAUUUCAAAUGUUUACGGCGCUUAAUUGCCUGGAAAUGGAAUGAAAUCAAAUUUAUCAGUUUUUUCCCCCUAAUUACCCAAAAGAUCUUUUGCAAACUAUGUUACAUGAAUGCUUCUGCCUCUUUAAGACAAAGAAGAAUGUCACCCAAAAUUGUCAUUUUUUUCUUAAUGUUCAUCAUAAAAGUCCUAAAAGAGUAACUGUAAUUGGAUGUUUAUUGUUUUUAUAUAAAGUAAGGUGUAUGUGUUUGAGCCAAGCUGGUUUGGUUGAUAAAGAGAUGUUAAAUAAUUGUGAAGCCAGAUAUGCAAUGUGUAUCUGAAAAGCAAGGAAUUUGCAGCCGUUUUACAAAUAUCUGUGGAACAUGUAAAUACUGUCAAAUGGAAAAUAAAAUGUUAUAAUUUUUGUGAAUUUCAUGGGAUGUCCUAUGAUUGGAAAAAUUAUAACUCUUCUGAUUCUAAUGUGGAAAUUGUUGUAUUUAAUCUGAAAAUGACUUUACCUACAACAGUUCCAUUGUCAGCACAGCCUAGGAGGGUCAGAUUCCUGUAUUAAUUACUCUUAGUGGAGAUGCCAGAUAUCCCAUACAGAAUUAGCAGAGAAAAUACACACAGGCUUCUAUUCAAAUUUUCUUUAGUGCUUAAAAUUAAGUUUUAAAAUGAAAUCAGACACUGCAGGUUUGUAUAUAAAAUGAAAAGCUAUACUACUUUUUAUAAAAGGGCAAACUGGGCUGAUGUAAAUGUUUUACUUUCAACUGUGUUCUUUAAAAUAAAUCCUACCUGGUUUUUAAAUUUUAUUUUUCAUGAAAAUGCUCCUUUCUCUACAUUUAUUCAUCCUAUAUACAUCAGGCUGUAAGACCCCCCCCAGGCAUCAUUAAUACAAUGUGUUGGGAUUCUGUGACUGGAAAAGGUGACAAGUUGGUGACUUUGACACUGCAGGUAUUCCAUUUUCAUGGUUUACUAUGAAAAGUCAUUUUUCAUAUUAUGUAAUAUAUUGUUAGAUUAAAACCAUUGUAUUAAGACUGUUUAAAAUGUAAGCAUUGUAAUUCUGAAAAUACACAUUUUAAGAAGAAA
rnacentral:sRNA from 1 species